GACGAACGCUGGCGGCGUGCUUAACACAUGCAAGUCGAACGGUAAGGCCCUUCGGGGUACACGAGUGGCGAACGGGUGAGUAACACGUGGGUGAUCUGCCCUGCACUUCGGGAUAAGCCUGGGAAACUGGGUCUAAUACCGGAUAGGACCACUGCCGGCAUGGGUGGUGGUGGAAAGCUUUUGCGGUGUGGGAUGGGCCCGCGGCCUAUCAGCUUGUUGGUGGGGGGAGGGCCUUCCAAGGGGACGACGGGUAGCCGGCCUGAGGGGGGGACCGGGCACAGUGGGACUGAGAUACGGCCCAGUCUCCUACGGGAGGCAGCAGUGGGGAAUAUUGCACAAUGGGCGCAAGCCUGAUGCAGCGACGCCGCGUGAGGGAUGACGGCCUUCGGGUUGUAAACCUCUUUCAGCACCGACGAAGCGCAAGUGACGGUAGGUGCAGAAGAAGGACCGGCCAACUACGUGCCAGCCGCCGCGGUAA
rnacentral:rRNA from 1 species